GAGAGAGCUCGCCUCCUCCCUUCUAGAUACAUCGCCGCCACCGCCACCUCCCUCCAUCAGAGCUCGCCGUCGUUCAUGGCCUCCCCCACGCCCCCUCCCCUCGCCCCUCCCCUUCCCUCACCACCCAACCGAACCAACCAGACCACCACACACCCUCACCUCGUUACCGACGCGCCGCCGCCAUCCCCCACGAAUGGUGUCGUCCCCACGAUCUGGAUCCCCACGAACCAGCCGUUGGUGACCACAUCCACUCCGUCGCCGGCGCCACCUCCACUCCCCUCCCCUCCCCUUCCUGGAUGGAGAUCCCCUCCUCUCCAAUCCCACCCACGCUCCACAGUCGAACCCUACACACACGCGCGCGCCAGGGGCCGCCGCGAUCUGUGAGAUGUGGCGCAGCCGCGUGUCGCGGGGCCUCCGGGAGGCAAAGGCUGCCACCGCCGCCGCAUCCAGUCGCUUCUCCACCGCCUCGGUAUCCCCUCUUCCUUCUCAUGUGCCCCCAAAUUCAGCACCACCGCCGAGCACAUCUGCCUCGCCGCCGGCGACUCCGCCCUCUACCCCGCUGCCGGCUUCCCCCACCAUUUGCUCCUUCCCCUCCCCUCCCCUCCCCUCUAGACCGACUCGACCUAGGCUGGCCGCGUCCUCCAGAUCCGUCGGCAGAGGAGGAGGAGACGCCUCAUCCCACUGCCACCACCCCCUCCAACCUUCUCUCCUUCCUCGCGCGCGCCCGGAACCCUAGCCACGGCACUCGAGGAGUGCUGGUGGUGCACCGAGCACUGCCUCGACUGGGGCGUCGGCGGCGGCCCCAACCUCAUCGUCGAGGACGCCAUGCUGCUCAUCCACCAUGGCGUCAAGGCCGACGAGGAGUCCGGCAAGGUCGCCGACCCGGAGUCCACCGACAACCCUGUCGUGCUCGCCAUCGUCCGGCACUCUCAUGUUCCACGCCAUCAACGUCACCAAGAGCAAGGGCGAGCGACAAGUGCCAGAGGCAGAAGCGCAAGACCAUCAACAUUGACGACCUGCUCUGGGCGAUGGCCACGCUAGGCUUUCAGGAGUACAUUGAGCCCCUCAAGGUUUAUCUGCAGAAGUACAGAGAGGUUGCUGACUUUGGUAUGGCCAAGCUCCAGCACGAAGACGACACAAUCAUGUGUCUACGCGGGUGAUGGGGACUUUCGGGUACAUGGCGCUGGAGUACACCAACACCGG